UCGAGCACAAAAGGGGGCUGGACUUUCCGAGCAUAGUGCGUGCAGGACAGCGUAAUGGUAUUACUGCUUUCGUUCUGAAAGCCGCAAAAACUGGACGGUGGCCGUAGCAGUGAAAUCUAAGCUAAGCUUUCGCUCGAUGAUAACGAGGACCUACGAAUGAUGCGAAGAAACAGGGAGGAAUAUUAAGGAAUAUUAUGUUUUAAUGUGUGUAAUUAAUUAUUGUUAAUUAUAUUGUACUUUUAUACUAAAUACUUGGUAAUAUUUACGUCCUCAUAGAUGUGGAAUGUUGCGAAUGCUUAAAAUAUACAUGGUGGUUCACCGAAA